GUGGGGAAUCUUGCGCAAUGGGCGAAAGCCUGACGCAGCCAUGCCGCGUGGAUGAUGAAGGUCUUAGGAUUGUAAAAUCCUUUCACCGGUGAAGAUAAUGACUGUAGCCGGAGAAGAAGCCCCGGCUAACUUCGUGCCAGCAGCCGCGGUAAUACGAAGGGGGCUAGCGUUGCUCGGAAUUACUGGGCGUAAAGGGAGCGUAGGCGGACAUUUAAGUAAGGGGUGAAAUCCCGAGGCUCAACCUUGGAACUGCCUUUGAUACUGGGUGUCUUGAGUGUGAGAGAGGUGAGUGGAACUCCGAGUGUAGAGGUGAAAUUCGUAGAUAUUCGGAAGAACACCAGUGGCGAAGGCGACUCACUGGCUCAUUACUGACGCUGAGGCUCGAAAGCGUGGGGAGCAAACAGGAUUAGAUACCCUGGUAGUCC
rnacentral:rRNA from 1 species